rnacentral:rRNA from 1 species
AGACGUAGGGGGCAAGCGUUGUCCGGAAUUACUGGGCGUAAAGGGUGCGUAGGCGGCAUUACAAGUCUAAUGUGAAAUCCCCGUGCUUAACAUGGGGUUUGCAAUAGAAACUGUAAAGCUAGAGUACAGGAGAGGUAAGUGGAAUUCCUAGUGUAGCGGUGAAAUGCGUAGAUAUUAGGAAGAACACCAGUGGCGAAGGCGACUUACUGGACUGAAACUGACGCUGAGGCUCGAAAGCGUGGGGAGC